rnacentral:rRNA from 1 species
CUUGCUUUCUCAUCGAGUGGCGAACGGGUGAGUAACCCGUGAGGAACCUGCCUCAAAGA